GCAGGUAAUGGGGCAGCAUCCAAUCCCCAUGAUGUUCUGGAUGUUCUAACUCAGUACCGAGGUAUUUCUUGGAGUGUUGGAGGAAAUGAAAACAUUAGCACGGUCACGACACUAGCAAACAUUCUUCGUGAGUUCAACCCAUCCCUGAUAGGAUAUUCCACUGGCACUGGAACGCAAACUACAGAAAAUGCUGCUCUCAACCAAGCAGUUGCAGGGGCUCAGGCAGAGGAUGUUCCUGCACAGGUCAGAAGACUGGUGGACCGAAUGAUGAAUGACAGU